GGUGGAGAGUUGUCUCAUUGGCAAUCAUACCACAUCUUCUUGUCAUGUUUGAAAACAAGAUUGUAAUAAAGUCUGUGAUUAAAAUCAAUUAAUAUAUAAGGUUACAUUUUUCUUGCCUCAGCAUAAAGCCAACGUCUAAAACCUUUCGGUUUGAAUAAAAUAACUGUUGUGUCACUUUAUAGCAUUAUUAAUGCCUUAUUACGUAGAUGAGGUAUAUCCAGAUGCCUGAAUAAAACAAUGAGUAUUUUAAUAGGUAGAAAUGCUAAAAUGUACUAAAAUAAACUGCUUCGCCGAGCGCAGCUGGAUACGACCACAGAGGUCCAACCCUGAACAGUUGGGGCAAAAAUGGACACAAUAUUCAAGCUUGAUACAGGUCUGAAUUUGGAUUGUAAUUAAAUAUUUGACACAUAAUAGGUUUCUGACACAGAAUAAGUGUAGUCAAAGAACUUAGAAUUGGUUGUAUGAUUUGAAUUUAUAUUCAAUUUUUUGCUUUUGUGCAAUACACUAUCAUGACUAUGCUGUUGCGAAUUGCCCAAUCAAACAUAUUAACAACAGUAUUCUUUAAAUGGAUUGGAUUACCUCCCUUACACUGCUUUUAAAUUGUCUAAAUUGUCCUUUAACCAUAAAAACCCUUGUUUUUCCCCCUUUUUUGCCCCUAAUUGCUAAAUGGUUUGAGCCAUAACCCCCCAUAACCAUCCCUUUGUUGUAUGGAAACUUGUGGUAUAAUUUCAGAGAGAUUCAUACACUUAAACACAAGUUAUUGUCUGGAAACUGCAAAAAUGCUUAUUUGGGCCCCUUUUUUGGC